UAUUCGUAAACGCUUUGGGAUGUUCGGGAAGGCGGUGAAAAUCCGCCACUGCCCCGCAACUGUAAGCGCGUUCGUGUGCUUUCUCGUCUGUUGAAUACAGAGGGCACACAGAGGUCCGGGCGUAGGAUGCCACUGGAGCAGAUGCUCCGGGAAGGUGAUUCCGCGAUGCCGCCCGGCUUCGAUUCCACAGGGAAUGAGCGCCUAAGUCAGGAGACCGGUCCCAUGCGCCUUUUUCAC
rnacentral:ncRNA from 2 species